rnacentral:tRNA from 1 species
GUGAUAGUAGCUCAGCUAGUAGAGCGCCGCUCUGUGGAAGCGGAGGUCGUGGGGGCAGAACCCAUCUAUCACCCCA